rnacentral:rRNA from 1 species
GACGAACGCUGGCGGCGUGCUUAACACAUGCAAGUCGAACGGAAAGGCCCUGCUUUUGUGGGGUGCUCGAGUGGCGAACGGGUGAGUAACACGUGAGUAACCUGCCCUUGACUUUGGGAUAACUUCAGGAAACUGGGGCUAAUACCGGAUAGGAGCUCCUGCUGCAUGGUGGGGGUUGGAAAGUUUCGGCGGUUGGGGAUGGACUCGCGGCUUAUCAGCUUGUUGGUGGGGUAGUGGCUUACCAAGGCUUUGACGGGUAGCCGGCCUGAGAGGGUGACCGGCCACAUUGGGCCUGAGAUACGGCCCAGCCUCCUACGGGAGGCAGCAGUGGGGAAUAUUGCACAAUGGGCGGAAGCCUGAUGCAGCAACGCCGCGUGCGGGAUGACGGCCUUCGGGUUGUAAACCGCUUUCGCCUGUGACGAAGCGUGAGUGACGGUAAUGGGUAAAGAAGCACCGGCUAACUACGUG